rnacentral:rRNA from 1 species
AUGCUUCUCCUAAAGACUAAGCCAUGCAUGUCUAUGACUAGAAGAGGAAUUCUCUCUGAAUCUGCGAACGGCUCCGCAAACCAGUUGUAAACCACGGCGAACACGUCCCGGCUAUGGCGCAAGCCAGGGCUGGGGCAAAAAGGAUAACCCUGGUAAUUCUGAGGCUAAUACAAGAACGUAACUCCUGGUCGACCGGUUCGCUGGAAGACUGGGGGGCGUGCAACAGGCGCAAAGGGAUCCUAUGAUUAGACGCACGCUCUGACCACCAUACCAAACAGUCUUCAGCCAGCCCCUCACGGGGCAGGUAGUUGUCUGGGUGGCUUUCGCGGGGUGCUUCUGACCUAUCAACUAGAUGGCAGCGUAACGGACAUGCUAUGGUCACAACGGGUACAGAGGAUAAGGGUUCGAUCCUGGAGAGUGGGCCUGAGAGAUUGCUCACACUUCUAAGGAAGGCAGCAGGCGCGCAACGUUCCCCUUGGGCAGUGCUUGAGGGCGUUAGGGGACAUAUGAAUGCCUGCCAAUUGGUGGGCAAUUCAAAUGGGUUUGUUUUAAACAGCCUUU